CAUAGUGAGUGACACCCCUAACUGCCUAAGUAAGAUUUUAAUAAUUCAAUCUUAAAUUCUGAAAUCACUUAUUAGGAUCCGUUGUUGGAAGCGUGUCGAUGGCUACCUUCAUUGAGAAGUCACCUGUUUUAUUCUUGUAACAAAUGAGUUGUUUCAUGAUUUGUGAAUGCUCUUCAAGAGGUGUCAUUCUUAGCAUACAAUCUCUGAAAUCUUUUUCAUAUCUUAGUGCCUUUAUAAGCCCUUCUCUAGAUCUAUUUCAAAAGUAAGCAAUUAGUCUUUGAAAGUUGAAACCUUUAAAAGAAAAAGGUAAAAAGCUUACCCCUCCUUCAAAUCGUAGUAAAAAUGGGGGUUUAGAAAUGCAUCAGCUCCAAACAAAGGCUUCUGAAAAUGUUUGUCCCAACGCUUGGUGAAAAUCGCCUUUAGUUUAGUCAACAUCACCGGCUUACUUGCGAAGUGAGUUUCAAUUCUUUUUCUUGCAACUUCCAAACGAGGAAUGACCUCUGUCAUUGAUGGUUUACUAUCUUCAUCAACCAAUCUCAACAAAAUCACCAAUGGUUCAGAAGCUGCCAUACAAUCAUCUAAAUUUUUCCAAAAAAUACUGUUGAAGAUAUGACCAUGAAUCUGUUGUCCAAUCCCAACAUCAAUCCAUUUACGCCAAUCUA
rnacentral:lncRNA from 1 species